GGUCGAUUAGCUCAGCUGGUUAGAGCGCUCGCCUCACAUGCGAGAGGUCCGGGGUUCGAGUCCCUGAUCGACCA
rnacentral:tRNA from 2 species